GCUGAACGCUGGCGGCGUGCCUAAUACAUGCAAGUCGAGCGAACAGAUGAGGAUCUUUCUCCUCUGACGUUAGCGGCGGACGGGUGAGUAACACGUGGAUAACCUACCUAUAAGACUGGGAUAACUUCGGGAAACCGGAGCUAAUACCGGAUAAUAUCUUGAACAGCAUGGGUCAAUAGUGAAAGACGGGUUUGCUGUCACUUAUAGAUGGAUCCGCGCCGCAUUAGCUAGUUGGUAAGGUAACGGCUUACAAAGGCAACGAUGCGUAGCCGACCUGAGAGGGUGAUCGGCGACACUGGAACUGGGACACCGUCCAUGCUACUACGGGAGGCCGCAGUCGGGAAUCUUCCGCAAUGGGCGAAAGACUGACGGAGCAACGGCGCGUGAGUGAUGAAGGUCUUGGGAUCGUAAAACCGUGUUAUUAGGGAACAACAAAUGUGUAAGUAAAUAUGCCAGGAUUGACGGUACCUAAUCAGAAAGCCACGGCUAACUACGUG
rnacentral:rRNA from 1 species